rnacentral:rRNA from 1 species
GAUGAACGCUAGCGGCAGGCCUAACACAUGCAAGUCGAGGGGCAUUAGGAGCUUGCUCCUAAGAGACCGGCGCACGGGUGCGUAACGCGUAUGCAAUCUACCUUGUACAGGGGAAUAGCCCAGAGAAAUUUUGGAUUAAUGCCCCAUAGUAUAAUUGAAUCGCAUGGUUUAAUUAUUAAAGUUCCAACGGUACAAGAUGAGCAUGCGUCCCAUUAGUUAGUUGGUAAGGUAACGGCUUACCAAGACAAUGAUGGGUAGGGGUCCUGAGAGGGAGAUCCCCCACACUGGUACUGAGACACGGACCAGACUCCUACGGGAGGCAGCAGUGAGGAAUAUUCGGUCGAAAUGGGGCGCAAGCCUGAACCAGCCAUGCCGCGUGACAGGAAGACGGUCCUAUGGAUUGUAAACUGNUUUUAUACAGGAAGAAACAACG